CCAAUAGCGUAUAUUAAAGUUGUUGCAGUUAAAAAGCUCGUAGUUGAAUUUCGGGAUCAAGGGAUUGGUCAUGCCUCGGUAUGCACUGGUCUUUUUGGUUCUCACCUUCUAAGGAACCAUGAUGUCAUUCAUUUGAUGUUGUGGGGAAUUAGGACUGUUACCUUGAAAAAAUUAGAGUGUUUAAAGCAGGCUUACGCUUGAAUACAUUAGCAUGGAAUAAUGAAAUAGGACAUCAGAUUCUAUUUUGUUGGUUUCUAGGAUCGAUGUAAUGAUUAAUAGGGAUAGUUGGGGGCAUUAGUAUUCAAUUGUCAGAGGUGAAAUUCUUGGAUUUAUUGAAGACUAACUACUGCGAAAGCAUUUGCCAAGGAUGUUUUCAUUAAUCAAGAACGAAAGUUAGGGGAUCGAAGACGAUCAGAUACCGUCGUAGUCUUAACCAUAAACUAUGCCGACUAGGGAUCGGAUGAUGUUAAUUUUUUAAUGACUCAUUCGGCACCUUACG
rnacentral:rRNA from 1 species